AAAACUGCUGAAAAUGCUUAGGUAAAUACAUACAUCGUAUUUUCAUGUACGUGUGUUAUUUCAAUAAGUAUGGCAUUCAGAAAAACGAAUUGCAUGCAUUAGCAGAAUUUAAUAAGCGGCUACAUUUUUCCUUUCCAAUUUUUAUUUUUGUGCAGUAGUGCUUUUAAUUGUAGUCUGCCUUCUGUUCUAAGAGUUCUUCAAUGUCAUAGGUAUGAAUUUGUUGAGAUGGUUGUGUGUCAUGUGAAUCUCCUUAAACGUUUGUUGCAUUUUUUAUAGUGUUUUACGUACUAUGUAAGCGUACGUAUGUCUACGAGUAUUAUCUAUACGAUACGAUAAUAUACAAUUAGUUGUUGAUGGAGUUAUUUAGAUUGUGCCACCACUCCAACCAACCAACAAUUCGUGUCAUGAAUCAGUAGACCUAAGCAAAACUGCACAUGAUCGCCUUCAUCCAUAAGUUGUUAAUAAACUAACAUGAUUACAUAUAUUAUGUCAACUAACUUCUUUCUUGUCCAUUUGUUGUGUUCCUGUAUGCAAUGCAGUAGUAUUUACUUAAACUGCAUAGCAGAACCUAUUUUGUGUACUUUUUUUUGUUUCAGAAUGGUAAGUAUUCCAAUAGUCUGCGUUGCCUGUACUUGAAUUCCUGAAAUGAGUUCCUCAAUUUGUUACAUACUGAUAAAUGCAUUGAUUGAAAAUGCAAAGCAAGACCCUGGUCUAGUUUGUAACCCAGAUUCCUAUAAUUUUGUAAGCGAGAUCCAUGACUCUUUCAGUUCCUAAAAUGUUUAUUUGAGUGGACAUGACUAUCAAUAUAUGUAUGGUGUCAAUAAACUAUCUGUCCCUAGCCAUGCUGACAAACCCCAAUUAUAUGUCAAAGAUACGUUACAUGUACUUCACAUGAGAAAUAAAAUCUAGUGACCCGAAAGGAUAAAUUACAAGGGUUACUCUCAUUUUUCAUACUAUAGAAGAUCUAAGAAAAUGUUCUUGUUAUUCUGUUCGAAGUUUUACAGCCGUCCAUCUUUAAAAGUGCGUCUGGAUCUCUUCGUUAGUCAAAUGAGUGUGUGCUGGUGACCCAAUGUUGUAAAUCUACCCGAGAUAAAAACGAGGAAAAAGUUUUUCUUUGGUUUAUUGUCGUCAUUCGCCUUCUCUUAUGAAAUUGUGAUGUUAAAUAUGGCAGUUGAAGCCAAGUGUACCGUAAGUGGACUAAGACAGAUUUCCUUUAUAAGGGAUUGCUAUACACACGCACACGCACUUUUCGGGGUGGGUGGUACCUUUUCCCUCAUAGAAUCAGAUUUUUAUGAAAUCAUCAGCAUGAGAAGCAUAACCACAUAAACAUUUCAAAUGUCCACGUAUUGCUGAUAGAGUCAUCGGGUUUUACCAAAAUAUGUAGUCCAUUGGCCUGCUCCUGCCAUUUUCAUGACCAUGAUAAAUAACUGGAUAUGGGGAUAACAUAAUUUUUUUGGCUAAUAAAGUCGUGUGGAGAAAAUAAUGCCGUAAAUCUAAUGAUAUUUCAUGUUCCAUAAACCUCAUUCAGCCAGUGCUAGCAGUUUAUUAUAGCAACUCCAAAAAAUCUAUGUACGCGUGUUCAUACAUAUAUUCAAGCACAUACUUCCAGACAUACGUAUCCAUCCAUAUAUGUGUCCUCCAACAAUGCGUGGAUGAAGUUUGUUGGUGCUUUUGCAACUUACGCAGCUUUCUCUCAUCCACCUAUACGUAAAUGUCAUCACAAUCUGUGAUCUUGACUUUUCCUUCUACAGAUCUUCUCUAACUUUCUCCACUCACGACAACGCUCUUCCUGUUGUUUCCUCCCUUCUCAACAACUGCUUCUCUUCAAGUAAUAAACCUUUGUCACGGAUAUGUGAUUCUUGAAGAAAAUAUGAUAAGACUAUGAGAAUAAAGAAAAUAUGAUGGUAAAAGAAAAAAAAUAUAUAAUAUGUGCUCGAGCACGUUGUUGGUCAUUUCAUUUCUGACCCAUUCAAAUAAAUUAGGACUUAAAGAAUCAAUAAUUGGAACAUGUAUAAGCAAGUGCGCCACGUGGAGCCCUUAUCUUGACCCCAAUGGUCGAAAACUUUCUCUCUAUCACUUGUACUUCCAUGUAGGAUCUUGUCAUGUGAGUGUGACGUGUUUAUACGCGUGUGUUACCCAGCAUUCUGAACUCUGAGAUCAACAAAGCACUUCCCGACGACGAAUAUCUUUCGGAUGCCAAGUUGGGAGUUACAUAACAUCAACUUUUACUCGCCAAAAGUUGUUGGUUUUGUGGUGGUGUGGGGGAGUAGUGACGAGAUAAAUAAAAAAGAACUUUAUUUUACGAUCACCAACCCCAUUGUACGUGUAAUACUUAUGCGACUUCCUGCCGCUGAUCAGCCAUCCACGACACUACGGGCCUAAUUUCGGCCAUCGAUUGUUUCUCCACGUGUCCGAACGAAACAUAGAAACUUACAAGAUUUUUAGUGGAGGAAAUAUGGCGACAAUGAAUUAUUAUUUUACGGCUCAUCUUUUUACGCAACUUUUCCAGUUCUUCCUAGAUUGGGAACAUUAGUGAAACGGAUUUCUGAGGCCAGUUCCAGUUGUUCAAAAAUAGUUAUCUGCAAGAAUGUAAAGUUUUUUGUUUUUAAAAUUAUAAUUUUAAAAUUAAAUACGCGAUGUUUAGUAUUGUUUAGCUUACAGCAUUGUCUCCCGUGUUCAGUAAAGGAGAAGGAAUGUACAGAGUUUGUUGUGGUCCAACUUUAAAGUAGCGUCUGCAUUGAAUAAUAACCGAUUGUAAUAAUAUACCAAAUAGAUAUUUACAAUGAUGAUAAUAAUAAUAAUAAAUAACCCAAUGUUGAAUCCGUUCACAAAAA